rnacentral:misc_RNA from 1 species
GAUGAGAACGUAGCGAAAUGCGAUACGUAAUGUGAAUUGCAGAUUUCAGUGAAUCAUCGAAUCUUUGAACGCACAUUGCGCCCGCCAGUAUUCUGGCGGGCAUGCCUGUUCGAGCGUCAUUUCAACCAUCAAGCCUUCGCUUGUGUUGGGGCCCCGCGGCUGCCGCGGUCCCCUAAAUCCAGUGGCGGGCUCGUCGUCGUACCGAGCGCAGUAGACAUCCUCGCUCCGGGAACCCGACGGGUGCCGGCCGUGAAACCCCCCACAUCAAGGUUGACCUCGGAUCAGGUAGGAAUACCCGCUGAACUUAAGCAUAUCAAUAAGCGGAGGA